rnacentral:tRNA from 1 species
ACUCUUUUAGUAUAAAAAAUACAAUUGACUUCCACUCAUUCAAUCUUGACCACAAGAAAGAGUA